rnacentral:sRNA from 1 species
UUUUUUUAUAGCAAAAAUUAUAAAAAACGUAAAUUUUAAUUUCCGCGGUUAAAAUUAUUAUAUAUUUAAAUUUUAAUACGGUAAUUAAUAUUAUCGCGCGGACGAUUUUUAAUAUAAAAAACAAUUCCCUAAAAUUCUUUUAUUACGAAAUUAUAUAAAAUUCGUUAAUGGCAAAUAAAAUAAUUUGUUAAUUAAAAAUGGAAUUGCGGAAUAAUUUAAAAAAUCGGUAAUUAGUAACCUAUUUUGGACCUAAUAGGAUAUAAAUAUAUCCACAAACAACUUUUGGGUGCCAAAAAAGAUUAUAUUAUAUUAUAUUAAUUUUUAAAAUAUAAAAGAUAUAUUUAAAUUUAUAUUUGGUAUAAAUUGGUCGAUUAAUUUGGGGUUGGUAACGGGAUAUUAUUAUAUAUUGCGGAAUUAUUCUUAUUCCAAUUUAUUUAAUAGAAUUAUUUGGAUGGUAAUAACGUUAUAAUAAAUAAUAAAUAUAAUUUGAAAUAUUAGGUUUUUCUCGUAACCCGUUUUCGCGAAUAAUAUAACAUCCUUUAUAUUAUAAAAAAAGCGGCGGUUAUAUUUUAUUUGGUUAUAAUGGGGGAUUCGUAUUGGGAUGUUUGGGGGUUUAUAAAUAUUUAAAAAACGUAAAGCGACUAUUUUAACGAAUUUAUAUUGCAAUAUUUAAUCCCCUAAUAUUUUUAUUUAUAUAUAUAAUUCCGGAAAUAAAUAUAAAAUGAGUAAACCGGUAAUUGCGGCCGUAAUGAUAUUGGGGUUAUUUUAUAUUAUUUCGAUUUGGUGCAAAAGGGUUGCAUAUAUAGGGGAUUAUUUGGGUAUUAUACCGGUAUAAUUUGGUAAAAUUUACCAGGAAUUUGGGGGUAUAAUAAAAAUUUUAAAAUUGUAUAUAAACCGUAAUUACCUAAUUUUAACCGUUUUAUAUAUAAAAUUUUCGUUUUUUUUUAAAAUUAGUUUUAUAUUAUAUAUAUAGGAAUUCGUUAACCUUUUACGAUUUUCCAUAUAUUAAAUUUAUUUAUUAUUAAAUACGGAUAUGGGAAAUUAAAAUUAAUAUCAAUAAUAAUGGCGAUUUGCGAAUUUCUAACCUCCACGAAAAAAUAAAAAAAGGUUUAUAUUUAAUUUCGCGUAACGCGCAUAUAUAAAUUUCUUUUAAAAUUUUUCUAAAAAAUUUAACUUUUGUUAUUUUUAACGAUAUAAUUGUUUUUUUAUAUUUGGUGUGGUUAUGGUAUAAUAGGGGAGUAAAAUUUUAAAAAUCGCGAUUUUAUUUCCACGAAGGACGAAAAUCGACAAAUUGUUUUUAAACUUAAAUUAGAAAGUUUUUUGGUUGGAUUUACAAAUAUAAAUAAAACCACAAAUUAAACCACAAGUUUAAUUGUAAAACUCUGGGCUUUAGAAAUAAACCCUAAAAUUAAACGAAUAUAUAAAUAAUUAGAAAAAAAUUGGAGGACGUUUAAUUUAUUAUACCGUUUUUACCGAUCGCAACGAUUAUACAAUUCCUAUUAAUAUUAAUUAAUAUUGUUAAUUUAAAAAAUACAAAUAAAUUAAAAAAAAGUAUUUAAAUUGCUAAUUCCCUCGGCCAACGCCGUAUUUGGAAAUAGCAACGAAAAUAUUAUAAUAAUUACAAAUUCCGUACGCUAAUACGUUUAAAAUUUGUGGAUUAUUAUUACGUAAAUUUCCGAAAAUACCGGUUAAAUUAUUAUAAUUUAAACUUCCUGGAAUUUUACCACCCGAAUUAUACCGUUAACCAACACCCGUUCCGAACCGUUAUUUUAAACGAAAAAAAACGCUAUAUCGGAUAUAAACCUGUUAAACCGACGUAUAUAGUAAAUAUAAUUUACAAUCCCGAAUAUAUUCGAAAAACCUAAUAAAAACAAACUUUUGGACUAUAUAUUUAAAAAAUAUGUAAUCCGUCCUAAUAAUUAACAAAAUAUUAAUUUCGUAAUAUUGGGAAACGCAAUAACAAAUUUUUCGAAAUACCGAAAUAAAAUAAUAAUUGUUUAAAAAAACGUAUAAAUUAUUAAAAUAAUUUAUAAUUUUAGAAAAUUUAUAAUAUGGAAAAAGGGGAUUUCCUGCUGGAAUAUUAUAUCGACAAAUUCAAAAAUUGGAAAAAAAAAUUUUUUAACAAUUGUAACCGAAAUUAUACGCGUAUUUUCAAAAAUUAUUUAUAAAAUUAUAAAGUUACGGUACCAGGCCGAAAAUACGGAAAAAUAGGGCGGAAAUUGGUAAAUAUUAUAAAAAUUGCAAAAAAAAACCAAACGGUAAUUACGCAAAAUAAUAAUCCAAACGAAUAUUUUAUUAAAAAUACGAACGAUCGCCAUUCGAUAAUUACUAAUAUUAAUCCGAUUAAUAUAAUUCCGAAAAUAAAAUUUCAAAAACCCGAAUUUAUAUUUCGUUUUUCCCCUAAUAUAUAAUAUAAUUAUAUCCGCCAUUAAUUAAUUAUUUCCGGGGAACAAUUAUUUGGAAAUAUAUAAAUAUAUAACGAAAAUAAUAGGAGGAAAUAUUAAAACGAACGGGCAAAUAUUUAUAAAAAAUAAUUAAACGCGUACAAAAUUUACCAAAUAUAUAACCGUCCCAUUAUAACGCAAAAUAUUAUUAUAUAUAAAAAUUUACCGCCCGUAUAUAUAUCCAACAAAAUAUUCCCGUUAAUUUUAUUAAAAAUUUUUAUAUGAAUUUGGGAAAAAUAUGAUAAUUAUUUAAAAAAUCCAUACAAUUUUUUGGACGAAACGGUAUUUAAUUUUGCAAAUAUUUGCUAAAUAAUAUAAAUUGAAAUUUCCUAAAUAUAUGCGGUAUUUCCGUUAAUAUUAAAAAAAAACAAAUAAAUAUUUCCAAAUAUACGUGGAUAAAAAUAAAACGUUUAGGAAAAUAUAUUUAAUUUUAAAAAAACGGUUCGAUUCCGAUUUAAUACGUUAAUAAUACCAUUUAAAUUGGAAUUUUAUUACGUUUUAUUCGUUA